rnacentral:rRNA from 1 species
AGGGGAAAAUGGACAUGGGCGAGCCUGAUCCAGCCAUGCCGCGUGUGUGAGAAGGUCUUCGGAUUGUAAGCACUUUAAGUUGGGAGGAAGGGCAGUUACCUAAUACGUGAUUGUUUUGACGUUACCGACAGAAUAAGCACCGGCUAACUCUGUGCCAGCAGCCGCGGUAAUAC